CUAUAAAGCGGGACACAUCUGAGGGAGGUGUCACUGUGCGGUGGCCGGGCUGCGGUCAGCGCACCGCGUCUCCGCGCUGUUUGGACGCUUGGCUUUCAGCCGUUUUUACACGCAGGUCUUCCACACUUUUAAAGAUUGGUACAACGCCUCAGUGUCAUACUCAGCCUUUUUAAGUAGUAGUUGUUUGUUUUUUUUUUCUUUUAAUAGACGUUUACAUUUUUAUGGCCCAGUUGGUGAUGGAGGACAUUCGGCGCUCCAGAAAUCCAAGGCCUGAACGCAGAGACUUGUUUUCUGACCAAAGGAUUUCCACAGCUGGCCCCCGGGCCCCCGGGCCCCCGGGCCUCUCCGCCUGGCCGGCGCGUCUCUCUCCGAGGUGAAGGAGUUUGGGGAAGGCGGCGUUUUUUACGAACAAUCUGGAGCGGAUCCUCUCACGUGAUCGACCCGUGGCCGUUCGGACGCAGCCUCAUCUGAGCCGUAGACGCUGCACGGCCUGCACGGUGAGCCUGAGCGUCCCUGUAACCCGAGGUGGUAACUCCCCUUCACAGUGUUUCCAUGUUUCCCUCAGAAGCAGGAUUAAGUGACAAAGAUCACGUGGGAUCUGGACCCAUGUCAGGCUGCGAGAUGGCUUUGGGUCACGCAUCACAAUAACCAAAUGUCACGUUUCUCCUCAGACCUCCUCAUGGUGAAUCCGUACAAUCAGGACCCGACAUGGAGGCCAUCGGUGCUCCGGAUCAUUUCUGCAACGACUUUAUGUUCAGAGGACGUGACGGACUGGCUUGUUGAGCAGGACAGAUGUGACCGAGAUGAUUAAACAUCUCCGCAGCUGGCCUCCCCGGAUGCCGGCAUCGGUACUGACCGGACCCACGGGCACGGCAAGUGCAAUGGUUUCCUGUCAGUGUUAUAAAGAUCUUCAGGACACCCUGAGGCGCUCCAGGAUGGAGUCCUGAUGAAACUGGGGGGCCAGACCUUCAUGGAGCUAUUUGGGGGCACUGACUGGACCAGAGCAGACGUAAGACGCUCUAAACCAGGGACCACCUACCUUUGUGACACUGAGAGCUACUUCACCGGCACUGUGUCAUACCAAGGGCUACCUGUACUGACCUUUGAACUACAAGAGUCCAAGCUCAUCUUAACUUUACGUACUAUAAAUAUAUAUUUAAUGCUUUUGGCAUUUUUAAAUCUAUGUAAAUACAAGUAUGAUUAAGAAGGAGGAGCAGCUGAAUAAAAUAGCAUUUUUCAAGUGCAGCUCACUGGAUGGUUUUUGCUGUUCGAUCAUUUUUAACUGAGGAGAGGAUAUUUAAGCUUCAAAGGUAGGCGAUUUUGGUUUAGACGGAGCAAAACCCCAGAUUCUGUAGAAAAAUCUAGCAAAUAAAAAAAAAAGAUCCAGGAUUCCCGCUGUGAUCCCCGUGACGCAGAGUAUGGGGCUGCUGUGGUUACACCACAAGCAGAGCCAGGCCCGCCGUCUGCAGCGCGGCUCAUAAUGCUGCAGAACGGAGCGACGUGACCUUUGGAGGAAUUGAUUAAAAUUAGCCAGCAGGCUUAUAACAAGAACUAAAAUUAGACAAGGCUGGGUGUAAUCCUGUGCUGAAAAGGAACUCGCACAGCCAUCUCAUGUGAUGUCUCAUGUGGUUCUCAGAGACUGUGGCUGUGUGUAGGCCGCUAAUAAACAUGUCCGUCCUGCGCAUCUGAUGCAAAGCCCCGCACCGCAGGCCGACAUUACAGCGCUUCAGACACACCAAAAUAAAGAUUUUAAAGACA